AGUUUAGAUCUUUUCGGUCCUUUUGGGGACAACUUGCAUCACAUAAAACAUCUAUGUUAUAUUUAUAUAAUAUACAUAUUUCAAGUACAUCUUUGUUACUGUUUCAAAAUGAUCAAUUUGAUGCUUCAAAUAAUUUUUCCAAAGUCUGAAACACUGGGCCAGGCGUGGUGGCUCACACCUGUAAUCCCAGCACUCUGGGAAGCCAAGGCAGGUGGAUUGCCUGAGCUCAUGAGUUCGAGAUCAGCCUGAGCAAGAGCAAGACCCCAUCUCUAAAAAAAAUAGCUGGGCUUUGUGGCAGGCGCCUGCAGUUCCAGCUACUUGGGAGGCUGAGGCAAGAGAAUUUCUUGAGCGCAAGAGCUUAAGGUUGCUGUAAGCUAUGACACCACUGCGUUCUACCAAGAGGGACAGAGUGAGAUUCUGUCUCAAAAAAAAAAAAAAAAAAAGUCAAAAAAACCUCUAAUGGCAGAAAACACAGUUUUCAAAGCAAAACAGCAUCCUUCUAUUUGAUAUACCCUGUUUCCCUGAAAAUAAGACAGUGUCUUAUAUUAAGUUUUGCUCCCAAAGAUGUGCUAGGUCUUAUUUUCAGGGGACGUCUUAUCUUUCCUGUAAGUAGGUCUUAUUUUCGGAGGAUGUCUUAUUUUCAGGGAAACAGGGUAGUCAUUUAUUUAAAGGAGGAGAUACAUUUUGAAUGCCCCAUAGCCCUGCUCUCUUCAUCAAAGAUUGCUUUUUGCAGUUAUUUAAGUGUUUUUGGAGUUGCUGGGUGGCAUUAUUAGGCAGACUCCAUCUUCAUCUACCUGCUGGGCAUGAGUCCACAUUCCUUUCAAUGAUGUGAGAGCAGGAAAAUGAGCAACACAUUGCAAUAGCUCAAGAACUCUCAGUAGGGGACUAAGAAGGGCUUUUUGAUGUCUCAUAACCUGGCAAUUCAGUUCACGAAUGACAGUGACAAUAUGGCAAUCAUGACUAUCGUGAUGGAGGAGAUGACGAAGGCCGUGGUGGUGGUGAUGAUGGUGGCUGAUGUGUACUGACUGUCCCAGAAUCUUGGGAAAUGGAUUUGCAUAACUAUUUCAUUUAAUGCUCACAACAACUAACUGAAGUAGAUGUGAAGAUGCCCAUUUUACAGGGACAAAACUGAGUGCCAACAUCCAUGUUCCCCUUGCUCUAGGUCACUCAGUCGGUAACUGGACAAGCUAGAAUUUGAACCCAGAUCAGUCUAACUAGAGCUUGGGCUUUUAGUUUCCAUUCGGUGCUAAUUUAAGACCUUGCCAGGAUUUCUUUCUAAGAGAAAAAGUGAAUCUGCUGUACUAUUUUAUCUUUAAUUCUACAAUAUUAUGAUACAAUUGAGUUAGUAUUACUUUAAUAUGAUCGAUCAACGCAUUGGAAAUUGUCUCAAGUUUCAAACAACCGGAAAAGUAAAAUGUUGCACACAUGAUGUGAACUUUCAACUUUCCCUAUUUAUUUGUUCCCUGUGUGGGGAGACAGUGUGGUGCAGAGUGUAGAGCCUGGGCUUGGCCUGGUCUGGGCUGGGUCAGAGAGCUGGCCCCACACACUGUAGCCGUGUGUGUCUGGCUUGUCACUCACCCUGUAAACCAGUGGCUCUCCACCUUCCUAAUGCCGUGACCCUUUAAUGUAGUUCCGCAUGUUGUGGUGACCCCCAACCAUAAAGUUAUUUUCGUUGCUACUUCGUAACUGUGAUUUUGCUACUGUUAUGAAUCAUAAUGUAAAUAUCUGAUAUGCAGGAUGGAUUUUCAUUGUUACAAAGGGGUCACGACCCACAGGUUGAGAACCAAUGCUCUAGACCUUGGUUUCCUUGCUUACCAAGUGGGACUAAAGACUUCUGUGUUAAAAGGACAUUAGAAUGAUUGGUAACUGUAAGCUAUGAAUGUCUACAGUGCUUAGCAAGGAGAGUGCCAUGUGGCUCCUGUCAAAAAAUGGUAAAAAGAUCUUUGGUUCUAAUGGCCUUCCCAUUUUCCUACUUAUACACACCCGUGCCUACCACAUUUGUAGGAUAAAAUUCAACCCUAAAGGCCCUGCCCGAUUUGACCCAUGUCCAGGUCGCCAGCCUCAUCUUUAGCCAUUUUCCUUGUCACUGGCUUUUUCACAUUGCUAACAUGGCCAAGUGUCACCCUUCCACUCCAGAGCCUUUGAACAUGUCUUUACCUUGACUGAAAAAUAAUCCUUCAUCUCUGUAUUAGCUCAGGAUUUUUCCUUGCCCUUGAGGUCUCAGCUUUAGUGUCCCUUCCCUAAGGGAGUCUUCCCUGAAUCUCCCAAAGCAGGUUCCCCUUACAAAUUCCCAAAGCACCAUCCCAUUUGGGAGACUCCUCAUGGUGAUAAUUAAAUCCUUAGUUCAAUAGAUAAUUAAAUUCAUUAUUCCAUGCCUGGCUCCAUGUGACUUCCAGCAGGGCAGAGGCUGUGAAUCCCAGGUAUUUACCCUCAGCCCCAGUCCCUGGGAUGGGGUGUGGCUGCUAGUCGGUGUUUGAUGAAUAUUUCUUGAAUGAAUGAAUAAAUGCAUUGAUGAUAAAAGGGUUUGCCUGGUUUCAAUCCCUUUAUAUGUCCUGGCCUAUUUUUAUUACAGAAGUCCAAGUGAUGUGAGCUAUAGAAACUUUUACCAGAAAUUGUUGCCCAACCUUGUACCUUUUUCACCACUCAUGAGAGUGAAACUUCCUAGGGGACCAUUUGUUACCUGUGGCACUGCAGCCUUGUGCACCAAAUGAGCUGCGUCCCACUCCGACCAGUACGCUACACUGGAUGAUAAAAAGAUAUCACCUCCCUGAAACAGAUGCUUCAUUUUACGAUGGAAAUGGAGGAGCCGAAGCCUGCAGGUGCCGAGCUGACACACGCUCUGCGGAGAAUCAUUAGAGCCUCCUUAGAGAAUGGGGUUUACUCUGUGUUUAUUCAGCCCCGGGCAGGAGAAAUGGCUGCAUCUCAGCUCGAUGAGAGGCAGAUCACAAAAGGGAGAUAGAUGGCCAAACAGCUCAUCACGAUAAGCAUAUUGUCUUCAUUUGAAGGAACCGCCUGACACCCGGGCUAAUCAAGAAGGAAAGUGCAAUAUGGCUAAGCAUGGGGGCCAGUCAGUUUCACUCUCCAGGCACCCCUUAAGGAAAAGCUUUCAUUUGUUUUCUUAAUUAAUAUUUUAAGGCUACCCAGAACCGUAAGACACAUGACUCAGUCACUUCUGAAGUUCCUCUGCUUAGGAUUCGUGUUGCUUGAGGAAGGGCUUUUCAAACCUGAAAAGUCUGAGUCACUACCUAUUAAACGAGUAUUGCAGCCCAUGAAUGAAGAGGCUUAAGAAGGGCAGCACAAUCGAUUUGCUGGCUGCUGUGAAUCUGCGGUCAUGUCUGCCGGUUGAUCUGGAAAUAGCUACAAACAGCGGCUGUGUCAGGUUUGUUGUGUGGAAACUUGUGGGUCGCUUGCAGGCUCUUGUUUACACUGGCUCUGUCCUCUGCUUCCCCGUCCCGCCUUAACUGAGGUAUAAUUGUCAAAAAAGAUCAUGUAUUUAAGGUGUACGACCUGGGUUUUUGAUACAUAUAUACAUACAUUGUGAAAUGACAAUUACCAUCAAGUUAUUAACAUAGUCAUCAUGUCACAUCUUUACUUUUUUUUUCUUUCUUGUGGUCAAAACAUUUACGAUCUACUGUCUUAGCAAACUUCAAGUACAUAAUACAGCAACAUUAACCGUGUUACUGUGCUGUAUGUUAGAUCCCCAGAAUUUAUUCACUGGGCGUAAGGGAAACAUCUCAUCCUUUGGUGAAUACUUGCCUGGUCCCCCUUCUCCCAGGCCCUGGCAGUCACCCUUCUGCUCCUGCUGUUCCUCUGCUUACUCUGGGCCCUCCAGAGCUCGCCUUGGUGAGGACUAUAAAAUGGAUAUUCAGCUUAGUGGCCGCUGGCUUCUCAAUUGCCCAAAAAUUCCAGAAAAGGGAUUUGAAGCUUGUGAGGGAGCCAUAACAGGUUUGUGAAGGCAGUAGCCUAGCCAAACCCCUCUGAUUUUCAGAAAAGCCGAUAAUGAGCAGUCUGAGUAUUUACAGACCAGUGUCACAUCCAUGUUUUCAUUGUGUCCCCUGGGCUUCGCACAAAGAGCUCUAACAACCCUUCUACCCCAGGACUCUUUUCCAGAUGUUCUGAAACAACAUCAAGUGACCCAGGUUACCCCGGAGAGGCUGAUAAAGGUGCAUUAAUGGAGAGACAGGGUGAGUGAGGCUGAGAUCCUCGCUCAGCAGCUUCGUCCUAGAUAAUCUCUCACCAACGUGGUAUUGAAUCUUGCUUUUACCUAAGGCAUGUUGAGUAUGGUUUCUAGAAAAUGAUAGGUGAAGCGCUGCAAAAGUGAAGAAGAAGCUUAAGCAGUGUAACAAUGGAUGUAGAAAUAUUAUCAUCAGCUGUCGGGAUAAUAGUAUCCGGUCUUUCCCACCUACAAACAUAAGCUGUAGGCUUAAGCAGAUGAAGACAGCACCGGGAAAGUGUGUGUCUCAGGGUUGAAACAGCGGCAAGGCAAGGGGAAGGGCUUUGCUAGCUCAAAACCCAAACAUGCGUCAUUUGCUUUUUGUUCUGACUAGAAGGAGAACAUCACGAUCACAGAACUGAGGCAUGCCAAGGCUUUGAGAGACUGCCCUUGGGAGGCAGUAUGAGGGCAGACAAUUAAGUUCACAAACUCAUUCUAGAAAAAGUGCAGCACACCUCAUUGCUGAAAAUCAUUACGGUCACCAGAUGGCCAACGGGAGUACUUCUAAGGUGACCUUCGUGGUGGUUAGCAAUGAAAUAUGUAGCACGUUUUCUAGGAUGAGUUCGUGAACAUAAUUAUCAGCCUUGCUCAUACUAAAACAAGAGAAUUCAUCCUGUGUAGACAGGAGAUUGUUUCGUUCUUUGCGGAUGGGGAGCAAAUAGCAGAGCAGUCCUUGAGACUGGAAACCAGCUCUUUACCUAUGAAAUGGAGGCCAGCCAUUUCUCAAGGAGAAACAGUAUGUUGCCUUCUAUUCAGUCAUAUGAAAAGAGCUACGAAUUCCCUCCAAACGUGGGCAUCAGGUAGCACGUCCAAAUCUGUCAAAGUGGGCUGAUUCUUCCACAGCACAUUUGCCAUGAGUACAUGACACUGAGUGAGAUAGGUGCCCCCUCCCCAAACUCCAAGGUAAGCAACGUGCCGAAGCCUUGAUGUGAAAAGUACUCAACACUCUCCAGUAUGUCAAUCACCCCAUGGCUGCCAGUGCAGAAUGCGCAACCCUCCUGGCUUGACUCCUGUUCUCCCUGGUGUGGAACUUGCUGCAGUCAUCCUGUGGGGGUCCUUCACACGUGAAAGGGACAGAGAGCCCACGUGAGGGGCUCCUCCAGAUCUGGGAAUGCCUGCUGGUGGCCCACGGUUUAGCACCCAUUUACACGGGACUCGGUUGUAUUGCCACACACCACCAGCUAAUAGAUGACAGUCCCUUGGCUGAGUUCAGAAAUAGAGGCCUCAUCAUCUCGUGCAGAGCUGGGAAGUCUUACUUGGCACUGACAUGCUCGUCUAGCUCAAACUCUGGUUUGAAGUACAAGGCCAACUUUGUGGUGAGAUGGACGUGCACUUGAGAUAAUAUGGUCCAUUCUUCACUUUGGAAAUUUGUGGUAUAGAAUGUCCAAGGUUGGUGAUUUCCAGUCAGUUGUCAUUGCUGGCGCUUUUUUUUUUUUUUUUAAGAGAUUCAGACUUUUAUAGGGGUACACAUGUUUUGGUUACAUAAUUUGCUUUCAUAUGUUUUAAGUCAAGGUUACAGGUGUGCCCUUGACCCGGAAUAUAUGCACUGUUGCAUUGGUUAGCUGGGAAUGUACCCCGCCCUCCACCCACUCCCACCUACUUAAUUUAAUUUGGGUUUUGCUUCCAUCUAUGUGCUUGAGAAUUGAUGGAAUAGUUCCAAUUUAGUAUUGAAUACAUGUGGUGUUUGUUUCUACAUUCUUGUGAUACUUCACUCAGGAGAAUGGUCUCCGAUUCCAUCCAGGUUGUUAUAAAAGAUACUAACCUAAUCAGCAUCUUUUUUUGUGGCUGAGUAGUGCUCUAUGGAAUGCAUAUACCACAAUUUAUUAAUCCAUUCAUGUAUUGACAGGCACUUGGGUUGUUAACACAACUUUGCAUUGUGAAUUGUGCUGCUAUUAACAUCCGCGUGCAAGUGUUUUUUUAAUAAAAUGACUGCAAGGCCUUUUUUGAUUCUUGCCACUAAACUGCUCAUAGUUAGAAACAUGAGUUCAAUUACCCCUACCCUCACAUCUUUAACCAUCAAUGUUGUUAUUGGUCAUAAAAUUAGCUGCUUCCUCUCAUUUCAAAUCCAUUGACAGUUUUGGGUGGUUCGAGGUGAGUGGGUUGAGCAAAGGGAAAUAGAUGAUUUCCUCUGCCUCUUGUGGAGUUAAUCUCUUAUCCAGAUUCUGCUAAAGCAUCUCUGUCAACAGCAGACUCUCUUUGUAGUUUAGCAAUAUAACUGUACAGAAAAAGUUUCUUCUUUAGAACGCUCCAACUCAAAGUCCAAAUGAUAGAUGACUUCCCAAUACUGAAGAAGACACUUAAGCACUUAUAUUUUAUUCAACAAUUUCUUCCAGUUUGAACAAGACAAUCCAUUUCUCAUGUAAACAGAGGGUAAGCAGGUUAUGUAUGUAUAAACAAAAAUGUCUGGCACCUCUUCAAAUGUUGGGUUAAAAGAAGGACCUGGAAAACAUGUUAUAGCUAGAAAUAUUAUUUUACCAUGCCCAGCAUUCAAUAUUUGGGGACUUCCCUCCUGUCUGCUCGAAUCUCUGUUCUUAAAUGUUUUAUUUAGGAAGCCAUAGUCUUCCCACCCCAUCCCUUUACCAGAGAGUUACUGGGAUGCUCAUAUGGCCAAGCUGGCCUUAAUCUAGAAAAUAUUUGAUGCUUAUCUAUCCUGGUAAGUUUCUUUUCCCCCUAAAAAGCUGUAAAACAUUUUUAGCUAACAUGUUCUGUUCAAUGUGGUGCAUCUUAACUGCUGAAAUGUCAAUUCUGUGGCAAAUAUUUCCAAAGGAAACAUUUGCAAACAUCUUCAAAAAGAAGUCCUCAUUCCUUACUUCCACAAAAAUAUAGCCAAGUCAGCACAUGUGUUUCUGAAAUCCUCCUUCCUUUAGAAAAGUCAGCCUUUUUCUUCCUAACUAAUCAACAGGAAGAGGUGUAUAUGGCCAUGUUUUCCAACCAGGGUGAAACCUUACAUAUUUUGCCAUAACUACUUGACCACCCCCCCACCCCACCCCGACCGAAGGUGAAAGGGGCUAAAACACCUUUGAGCACAAUAGUGGUCUUAGAAAUAUUGGGACAGGUUUUCCAACUGUCACUGGUAGGUUUUUAGGGAACGGAGACCUGCCUCUUCCAUGGGCACCUCUCAAGGCAGCAGUGAGAAUCAGAAGUGAAUGGUGCUGGCUCUGGUAGUAACAGCAUUUGUAGAGACUUGGAAUGCUCAGAACUCUGCCCCACAUGGAACCUUGCUAGGGGGGUGAGCCCUCCCUAAAUCUAGAGAGGAAAUGCCGCCACACAGAAAACUUUCAUCAACUUCCUUCUGCGCUGUGUGAACAUAAGACUCAUCUCAGUGAAGUGUUAUGAGAAAAUUCAUGCCUCAUCACAAAGAAACAGCUGUGUGUUGCCACAGUCAUUAACUUUUGAAAGACGUUAAAGGGAUGUAUUUGUUUGAAGCCGUCACUUCAACUGGAGCUUCCCCUUCAGCUUUCCUUCUGGCUCUGUAAGUUUUACCUCACUUCUCUCAGAAGAGGUGUGGAAACCAGGACCAGAAAUUUAUGGCUCCUAUUAAGAGCCUGGACGGGUGGACACUACGUCAAUAAUUAUUUCUAGCGAGGCCCUAACAGCAGAGGGAGCAUCUUUGUCGAAUGGCUUAUUUUAACAGAAGACAGAUAUGCCUGACCUGGGCUUUAUGACAGAUGUCAAAUAUAUCGAAGGGUGUCGUGAAGCAGAUCGCCUUAUUGGCAAAGAAAUGAAAGACCAGCAGGAAGAUGGAUGGGAAGCUUCCCCCAGGGUUUUCUCAUCUCUGUGCAGGUACGGCGUUGAACCUGAAGGCAGGCCAGUGGGCAGGUGGGAGUGGGGACUUGGAUGAGCAGCUUGAGCUCCAGCCAAUUCAUGAGAUUUGGAAAGAAAAGCCCCUAAAAGCCCUGGAGGGUGACAGAAAGCUGGGUGGGGGGAGUGGGGAGAGCAGGGUGGCUUCCACAAGAGCAGCUGGAGACCAGGCCACCAGAGGAGUUGUAGAGAGAGAGAGAGAAAACACACUAUCUUAUGUGCUUCAUCCUAGGUGCCUGCUUAGAAAUACUCAUUCCCUAACCUUCUUUCUUGAGCUCACUUCAACAAAUACUGGUACUAUGUGCUGAGUGCAGUGCCGGGUAUGGAGGGGACAAGUAGAGAAGACACAGGGUCCCUGCUCCAGUCCCCACUUCUGAGUUUUCCUUCUGAGUUUUCUCCCUUAGCAUCAUGGGAGGACACCAGGUCGUGAGGAUUUCUUAGCUGCUGGGUAGCCUGGGGCAGGGUGUGUGCACUUCUCUGAGCCUCAUUUGUCUUACCUAGGAAGAAGGCUUCUUGACCUCCUUCGUGGAGUUGAGAGGAUUGAACAGGACAGCAUCCUGAGGCUUGGACUGUAGCAGGUGUGGGAAGGCAGGGGACAGGAGCUCAUCUCCUCUGAGUGUGUGAGACACACACUUUGUGUGGCUCUUCCACUCCCUACAGCAGCCUUGGGAGGAUCCAAUCCCUGAUCUAAAAUUGCCUGUUAUUUUUAACUUUUAACAUCUCCAGUCAGAUUGAGAAAACAGUAGUACAGAGUUUCUCUCUGGUUUAUCUGAAGUCAAGAAGCCCAGGACUGAGAGCUACAAAGUGCCUGUUUGAGACCAGGAUCUGUCAUUAAUGAAACCUGCGACCGGUCCAGAGGCUGGCUGUGAAGAUCAAAUAUGAAAGUACUCUGAAAAAGUGCUGAAUUGCAAUAAGAUCAUUUAUUCAUUCAUCGGUCAUUCAGAAACAUUUCCUCAGUGCUGGCCAUAUCUUAGACACUGUAUUAGGCACAGGGGCCACAGCAAAGACUCCAGUGACAGUGUUGUAGAACAAGGACUCCAGCUUGCUGGCUGUUCUAGCCUUGUCAGGCUGAUCCUGAAGUAUUUAUUGAAUGCCUACCACUGGCCCUGUGAUACCAAUUAUUACCUUUCCAUUAAAGUGCACUCAAUGACUACUCCAUUACCGGCUUGAAAGAGUUAAUGUGCUUCAAAUGCCUCCUCUGGGCCUGGGGAGCUCUGCACGGGCUCUGCCGAUGCAUCAGCUUCCAAGUAUGUAUUUUCUUUUUCCUUCUGUUUAUGUCUCUGUCUUCUGUAAUGUCUCCUAAACUGCAGCAGUAUCUUUCCAAGUUCUCUGACAAUGUUAUAAAUUUCAUUAAGAAGAUGAAGCCUUAUGGAGCAAUUAACUCCAAAAGUGGUACAAAGCAAUAGCAGGAGAUACUGGCCUGUAGUGCUUAGCACUUAGCUCCGAAAUGGAGAUAAGCCCUAUCAACCAGGGGUUGUGUUUAAUGUUCACUGCCGCUUCCAUACCACAGCUACAACCUGGCGGUCACCGUGUUAACACUCCCCAAUAUCUAUUACAAUUAGUUUUUGAUUAAGAGGCCUAACAUGGCUUUUGAAGCUUUUUAUGUUGUGUCAAAUGGCUGGUGAUGGAGUGAGGUGCACAGACACCUCCCGGUAACAAAGCGUAUUGUAAAAGGUUUCAAGUGAACUAUUUUAUCAUCCUAAUGGAAACCAGAUGACUCUAACUCCCCCCUUAAUUUCAACUAUUUACUGAAGAGUCCUUGUUUUGAAUUACUGAAAGAUUUAUUCUUAAAUGACUACCUCAUGCAUUAAGAAUCGCUAAUAACAGAGCCAUUUGGAAUUUGGGAAGGCUUUUAAAGAUGACUGAAGCAAUUUUCACAGAGGAUUUAUGAUAUUUUACUUUAUUUUCAUUUGAUUUCUAAAACAGCAAAUGCCUUUGCCCUUUCCUAGUGUUUAAUUAUUAUUUUGAUAGUUGUUUAUGAGGGCUUUCUCUGUCCAGGUACGCUCUCUCUGCCAGGGUUUCAGUCAGUAGUCUUGGCCUAUGGUCGAAGAAAGGGGUCACGGCUAUUUUGUGAGGAAAGAGGAACUUUGUUUAGUGAUGUUGGAUAUACUUCUGCGUGAACUGAAAAUAUCUAGUGUUUUUAUAAAAGUCCAUUAGAUGAAACAAAGUGCAAUUAAUUAAAAAAAUUUGUGAACUAUUUGAUGCAAAUUUAAUGAAAAUGGCAUGUAAAUGUCAUAUAACUUGUGAAUAUGAAACAUAAGCAAAAGUCUUUUUUACUAAUAUAUUUUUAUCUCUGGCUUCCCCCCCCCCCACUAAUAUGGAGUGGCUGACCUCGUCCACAUACUUCCCUUUGAACCUCAGAUUCCUCAUUGGUGGUCGGACUAGGUGGGCCCUGGAAGUUAUUCACAUCUAGAAGACAUCGACUCUGAUGUCAGAGGUGCCCCAGACUGUUCUCUUGAGUGGAAGGGUCUCAUCACAGGAAGGCAGUGUGCUGUAUGAUUUCGAGUCCUGUCUCUGCAGUUAUUAACUGGGUGUCUUUGGCAUGACAACCAACUCUUCAAGACUUGGAUUCCUUCCACGAAAACAAGGACAAUGUUAGCUACUUCAUAGGGUUAAAAGAAAUAAUGAAUAAAAUCAGGUAUAUAGAAUGCUUGGUGAAUGGGAAACUUGAUAGUUUCCAUUCCUCCCCCCACAUAUCCUGUCCUAGUUAAUGGUUCCUAAUAUGGUUUGAAUGAAUGAAAUUAUUAUGCUAUUGGUUAUGUGCAUCAUUAUAUCAUGAACGCUUCCUGAGCACUUGCAAUAUGCUGGAUGCUGAGCAAGGUCUGAGAAUCCUGAGACUAGAGGGAGGGUCCUUGUUCAUAUACAAAUUGGUUCAUAGAUAGUAGGCAGAGAAUUUUCACAGUGUCAGAUGGGUAGAGAUGGGCAGAGAAAGGAACUCUGAUUGCAUUAGGGCUUCAGCAUUCUCAUAUAUAAUGACAUAUAUCAUUUCAGACAGUCUUUUCAACCAGCCCCUUAGCCUGGCAAGGCAGGAAUUAUCAUCUCUCCUUUUUGUAGAAGAAAAAGCUGAAGACCUGAAUCAUUAGGUAUUUUGCUACUGUUAUUGACAAGAUUUAUUCAAACUAAAACUUGCAAUCACAAAUGUGGCUACAGUGAACAUGUGCAAAGACUUAGACCAAGCCAAAAAAAAAGAAAA